AUACCCUAUUAUUUUUAAUGUAAAAUUAUAAAACCAGAGUAUUAGUAGUUAUGAUCUUGAAACUUAAAGAAUUUGGCGGUAUUAUAGUCUAUUUAGAGGAAUCUGUUAUGUAAUCGAUAUUCCACGUUGAAUCUUACUUAUAUUAAUUCUUGUAUACCGUUGUUUAAGAAUAUAUUUUUAGAUAAAUUUUCUUAAUAUAUAAAUAAUUAAAAUUUCAAAUCAAGGUGCAGUAAUAUAUAAGUUGAAUAAUGGAUUACAAUAAAUUGUAUUUAUAUGAAUAAUUAUUGGAAUAGUAAUUUGAAGGUGGAUUUAAUAGUAAUUUUAUAAAGAUUAAUAAGUUGAUUAUAGGCUCUAUAAUAUGUACACAUCGCCC
rnacentral:rRNA from 1 species